rnacentral:lncRNA from 1 species
CAAACUUACAUUUCGAUGGAGCGACCAUAAUAGUUUAUUCCUGCAUUAGCUUGUCACUAAUCUAAUUUUUUUAGAUUACAUGGUCUCGCUAAUAAGAUUAGUUCUCGCUAAGUUCCUCAUGAUAGCGAAGCUAUGAUAACAUUGUCAUCCAGUAUGACAAGAAGAACUCAUACACAUUCGUAAGGCUUGUGAUGUUCUGAAGCCUCUACAUGGACUGAUCGAACUGUUCAAGCUCUUGAGACAUACCAAGAGUUGGCACUGUCAUCUUACCAAUUGCUUUGCAAACAUGAUUACAUGGUCAAGACCAGAAGGAACAACGAGCAUCACUCUGUUGGAAGAAGAUUAACCUACACCAAGUUUUGUGUGUUUAUUUGAGGACACAACAGGCUGAGAAGGAUUAGAUAAUGGUACAAUAUACUUGUUGUCUGGUGUGUUUCCAUGCAGACUCUUAAGAACAGGAGGGAUGAGAUAAAUAAGUGCAGACAGAAUCUGGUGAAGAUCUCUAACCACCACUCUGCAUGGACAAACUCCUCAGCGUAAUCAUAGGAAGAACUGCUACAUCAUUCCCCCAACAUCCCUUCCAUCCUCCUACUUGCCUUUGUUCGUCAACGUACAACAUUGCAAAUUAAUGUCUGACACAAACCUUAUUUAAUGUGCCUCUUCCAAUCAAAGGUUCGAUGAUGCUCCUCUUUUGGUGCGUGUAUGUCUCAUGUAAAUCCAUAUGAAUGCUCCCUUGAAUCGGGUUGGAUAACAUGGCCUUCAAUCAUUGAAAUAUGUAGAGAGACCCAUGUGUUUGUGUAGUUUUUAACAUCCCUCUGUGUGAGCCAAGAGCGGGACACUUUUGCCACUGUCUCAAUCGUCACAUCAUUCAUAGAAGAGGCACAAUGUGAAGACGUAGGACAAGAUUGGUGGGCUUUCCCCCUCAGUUCCCAAAUCUGAAUUAUAAAUCUAUAGAGAGAGAGAGAGAGAGAGAGAGAGAGAGAGAGUUCAACCAUUAUGGUGGCUCUCUUCGAAAGCUACAGUGGAGGUCUGACAAACACAUCCCAGCUUCUCCAACACGUACAUAGAGAGAAUUCAACCAUUAUGAGCAUAAGCUGAAGCUUGUUAAAAAGUUUGUACACAGAAAACAUGUCUAAAAAUGUCAAAUUUCAACAAUGCUGAUAACAUUGGAUGACUUAUGUCCUAACAAUUGAUGAAGAUUCUAUACUAUCUAAACUAGGCUUUCAUUGGUCCUAUCAUCAUGUACUCAAAUUUCUGUAUUCAGUGAGGAAAACAUAGAAAUAAGAUUGAUUGAUGCACUAAGUCAUAGAAAGAUGGAAAUCCGAGUAAAAGAAGCUCUCACACAGUAGUAAUAAUAUGCUCAGGUUUAGGGCUUACUUAUGGUUGUUCUAUUACAAGUACACAUAAGAGAUAGAUAGUCAGUCACCUGACAGAGGAUGUAAAACUCCAUCACAUCAUAUGCAACUUGAAAGGAAAAAAAAAAAAAAAAAAAACAAUGUCUAAAGGGGGUUACAACAUUACAAGAUCUCCACAAUGCCACUUGAAAGAAAACAUUGCUACACUACUUCUGACCACAUCAACGAAACAAAACAAUUGUACUAUUACUUCCGACCAAAUCAACAAUUUAAAAAUAAUUUUCAAUAGUCACACAUGCUGAGAUCCAUUAAUAACAAAGAGGGUAGAGAACAGUAAUCCUACUACAUUAAAAUUACAAAGAGAAUCAAAAACUAGAUUAAGACAUUAUGAAAAGGAGGAAAUAUAGCAACUUGUAGCCCUCAAAUAACAUUCUCAUGGUAUCAUACUCUACAGUCACCUUUAAAAUUUUGUUCCAUGUAGUGUCGCUAGCAAAAAUAGUAUGAAAAAACAAAAGAAGACUUCCCAUCCUAUAAAAUGCUCUUAAAUUCUUGCUCACUUGAAACCGCAAUACCACCAACACAAUCCUGGUGAUUCAAUUUUUGUGCAACCCGUAAUGGCUGAUGAAACAGUGCUGAAUCACUACUCAGAUCCAUGUGCUCAAACCCUCUGGUACCCAACAUCACUUCUGCGAUUUGAAGAUCUUCCCCUACCCCCACCUCCACUUCCAAAAUCAGGUCGAGCAUUGUAAUCCCCUCUACCAUAACCCCUCCCACCACCAUAGUAACCACGCCCUCUCCCAUCAUUGUAGAACCCACCCCCUCUAUCAGGUGCAAAUCUUCCUCUGUUGCUAACUGCAGAAAUCAAAUAUUGGAGUGAUUUACUGGAAUAUAGACAAUAUAGUCACUAUCAAAUUGAAAAUUAAAGGGUUGAGGCCAUUCACCAUCAGUGACCAGUGUUGCAGUUUGAAGUGCAAGAUAAAGCAAAAUAACUAAACUUAUAAUGAACUGCUUACUGUGCUGAUGGUGAAAACAAGAAUUACUGGAAAACUCCACUUACGUUUACAUUACAAUUGAAAAGAAAACUAACUAAAUUAAGAAUGAACAGAGAGAAAGUAAAGAAUAAGCUAUCCAUGCACAGGCCUAGAAUAGAGUCAAAAACUUGCCUCGUGAACCAGUAGUCCUCUUUUCCUCAACAUAAGCUUGGCGACCACCAAUUAUUACAGGUGAGGCCUGCAAUUUGAAGAAAAUAAUCAAUACAAACAUUUCUUUCUCAAUCUUGAAUAAUUAUACAAGUACUCUGAUCCGAUAAAUGUUUAUUCUGACCAGCUUCCAUCAGUUCCACAUAUUCUUUUAUUAUGGGAAUUGAUAAAUACAUAGAAUAAGAUACCACUUCACUUGAGGCUUCACCACUGUAUAAAAAAUUAUCCCCUUUCUAACAACUGAUUCUGAUUAAGCAUCAGUCGUUGUCAUGGUUCUAUACCUAGAUAAACUAGUUAUACUGAGAGACUAUAUGGCAUAUGCUAAAUUUUACAAAUAAGAAUUAAAUUUAUCUGUAAGGACAACCAUUUCAAACUAAUUUUGAUAGACAUAAUGACAACAUUAUACCCUUACAGAAUUACAAUAGCAAUUUACCAUACUUUUCAUGAUGCAUACUCACUUGCUAACUGACUAAACCAUAGCUAACAAAGCUUAUUAGAGUUCCCUUUUUCUUAUCAAUAAUGAUAUAUACUUAAAUCCAUCAAAUAUUUGCAAGUCAAAACUGACACCCCACAAUUUACCAGAACUAUUCAGUGUUGACUGUAAGAUUCCUUUAGGCACUUGUGCAAACUACAUCAAAUAUUAAUUAAAAUCUUAAUAGAUAGUAUUCCAUAAACAUGGAAGCUCAGUUUAACCCUGAAACGUAGGUAUUAUGAUGCAGCAGAAACACUCAAAAGGAGCUUUUCGAAAAAGGCAAAAUACAGCAUUUUAAGCAGACAUCAUCUUCUAGGCAAUCCCAGCAACCAACCGAGGUCCAACGAUCUACUCAAAAUUGCACCAUCCUUUUUGUUAAUUCCCAAACAUGGUAAACGAUAGUUGCAGGGACAAAACUUCAGUAAUUCCUUGUUCUCAGUUCUCUAUAACUUGACUAAGUUUUCACAGAAAUCCUUGUUAUACCAGUUAUGCUGUUUGAAAUGGUCAAAAUAAUUCUUUUGGGCAUAAUCACUAAGAAUAUCUACCUAAUAUACCAUCAUUCCUACAGUCCAUUGGUUCAUAGCUGCUUGCAAACUAUCCUGUUUUGGGACACAGGUAUACAGAGCAAUGAGAAUCAAGAGAAUAAAAAGGCUAAACUGCCAGAUGUUAGCUAUUAUAUAAAAGCACCAUCAUAAUAUAAAAAGGUCGAAGUCACUAUUGAAUAGGAACGUGAAGAUAAAGCACAUCUUAAGCUAAUUAACCAGCUUACUAAUAAGCUAAAACUUAAAUCAAUACAUAUCAUUUUAGAAUAGACCAAUCACUAAAAAUCAUUUAGAUAUAGAAAAGCUGGGCCAAUUACAAAAAUAAGCUAAAAUACAUACGAAAAUCACUAAAAAUAGAAAAUAAUUUUUCUAGGCUUCAACUUGAUGAAACUGAGUCACAUCAGUUUCUCAGGAAGAUGCAAUACAAGCCACGCUAAAAAGUCCCUAGGAGAAGUUUCACAGUAUACCUACAAAACCCCCCAAAAAAAAUUAAUGAGGCAAGCAAGAAAGCCAAAGGUGCUAAAACAGAAAAAGAUAAACAUAAGCAAAAUAACCACACAGAACUAAAUUAGAUUCACAAGGUACAAGAAGCAUAGAAACUAGAACGCAGAUUUAAGCCUCCAACAAAUUGCACAAUGUAAUCAUAAUGACAACCAGCGCUGGCAAAAAGAUAAAGAACUACAUAGAAAAUUAAUCACAUAAAUUGAGCAAAAUCAGUUAUUAAUACAAAUUGUACCUUUAACUUUCAUCAAAGAAACAGAACCAUAAAGGAAGUUGGCAAGGAUCACCAGAACUAGUAACCUAUACUCUGCUGAGAUUGCCACUCAUAUCUAAAGCUUUCAGUGGAUACUAACAGCCUGACCACCAACCUAAAUACAAGCUAAUGCUUCUGGGCCUCCACCAUGGAUCCCAUGAAGUUAUCAGGUGUUGUGUACAGAUCAUUAAGUCAUAAACAUGUUUAAUCUAUUAGGCUAGGGAUGCAAGCAAAUCCAUACAUGGAAACUGAAAAUUCCAGUAAGUUAAUAUUAACUACAUGCAUUUUGUAGAAAUAAAUAAACAAACAUGAUUGUCACUUGGAAUAUUUGAUAAGCAUGAUCCAAAAAAGACAUGGGUAGUAUAAAUUGUUUGACUUGAUGUACAACCUACAUGACAAUUGACUGCAAACCAAAGAUCAAGUUUAGAACCUCAUAUCCAUCUUAGUAUGUGUUAAACUUUCAGUGCACAAACAGGUUUGUAUUCAGUACCCUCUAGCCAGAUUCUGAACACUUAGCUCUUCUUGGAUAGGAACUGGAUUGAUACUUCAUGGAUACAGUCUAAAUUUUACUCGAUAACAAUGUUAGUCAUUGUUUAGGCAGCAUACAGUGAACAAACAAGACAUAUAUAGUUAUACCUCUAUUGCACUUUGAACAGCACUAGCAGCCUCAAACUCCACAAAACCAAAACAGAAACCUUGCAGCUGCAGAUGAUUCAAAAUUAGUUUUUGAGAAUACUUCAAAUUAGAAGUGGUAGGUGAAUUGAAAUCAUAUCAAAGAACAGGAUAAUAAAAGAGAACCUUAUGACUUCUAACUUGUAUGCCACCGGACUUGAUGGCACCAAACUUCUUGAACUCCUCUUCAAGUUGAGCAGGGGUUGCAUCCAAAGGUAAAUUUUUCACAUAUAUGGAAUAACCAUCAGCUGUAAAGAAGCAUAUAAGGGAUAUAAAUCAAAACAGAUAGUUAUCAGACAGUUGAGAAAUUGAAUUUUUAGCUUGAUACAGAAGCAUUAUUACCCUCUGCCUCUUGCAUAUUGCUGCUUUCUGCAGCAUUAAAACUGGAUGCAGGCACAUCAGCUGCUGGAGUAGGGAGUGCCUGUGACUCUGCUUUAAUCGAUGAAGGCUUAGAAGGAAUACGUGCUGGAACAAAUGCAGAAGAACUACCUUUUAAUAUUUUCACCUGCAUCCAUAAUCCAACAAGAUAUUCUCACAACUAGAUUCUUCUAACAUGGUUCAGCUAACAACACAAGAACUUAUUAUCUAUUUAUAGGUUGGCUGAAUUGUUAGUUAGAAAAUUCAAUGUAUCCUCAAUAAAGUUGUGUUGUACUUCCAAAUAAAAACUUCUAUAACAGAUUGUGUUGCAAACUUUGCUUCAAGUCCUCGAAUGUAGAUAUGCUGCAUAGUCCAAUUUCAACUCAUGAUAAUACAUAAUUGGUGUUGCAUCAUCUGUUCACAUAGAGAGGAAGAUAAGGGAAUAACGGUCAUACCACUAAACUGCCCGAAAAAUCACCCAUGAGUUUAAGUAUAUAAUUAAUGCCAAGUUUCACAUCAUGAUCAUUUAAUCUGAAAGGCAUCAAGUUUAUGACACUAUUAUCUAUCUAUAAUGCUCAGGCUUUAAUAUAGAAAAGAUAGUUUACUAAUUAGUCUUAAGACAAAUUUGAUCAUAGGUUUCUUGCUAUAAGGAGUGUUACAUAGAUUACCAAUUGGCAUAAUUAGCCUUAAGACAAAUUUGAUGAUAGGUUUCAAGCUAUAAGGAGUGUUGCAUGGAUUACCAAUUGGCAUCAAUAUGUUGCUUGCUAAAACAGAGUUGGAUAAACAAACAAAGACACUCCUAUCAACUCUAUUUGUUUAAUUUUAUCAACAAGUGGGAAUGCCCUGAGACUAAUAACAGCUACACACUUAAGUUGUCACAUGUAGCAUGCAUGACUGAAUUGGCAUUAUGAUGUAUGUUCAAAUUAGACGCUUACAAUUGAAGCAUAUGAUUUCUUUGGCAACUCUUCUUGGGUCGUCACAGCACGUGAUUCAACCACUGCUGUUUGACAAGUGUUUGGAGCUUCAUUAAUCACCUCCCCCAUGGGUUCUUCCUCUUCUACUACCUCCCCAUUGUCUGAAGGAUUAUAGACUUCCACCUCGCUCACGCCCUCAUCUUCUACUGCCGAUGGGGACGUUUGUUCCAGGGCGUGCUGCUCCUUUUGUGUUGGGGAACCUGCAAGUCAAAAGCAAUAAGCCUUGAUAUUUCCAAAUAAAGCAGUCAAAAAGACAUGAGAACCGCAAGGUCUUUGCAAGACAAACCAUGCUCCGGUACAUGAGGUGCACUAGUACCAUUCACCAAGCCUUGGUGCUCUGGCUGGUUGUCUGCCUCUUCCACGAACCUAAAUAUGUCAUUCAAGACAUAGUAACCCUUGUCCUGGGGAGCAAGAAAGAAAGACUGGGUGAAGUCUCUCUUAACAGUGUCCUCUCCAGUGAGGAACCCGGUCACAAGAACAAUCACCCCACCGCCAAGAGAUUCUUGGGCAUCCACCGAUUUCGUCUCCACUCUAACAAAGCCGAUAGACAAUAUCUUCUCAUUGAUCGCCUGCAUCCCGUUCAACAAUCAGUUCAUGUCAUUAAAAAUGAGAACUAUCAGCUGCAAGAUUCCAUCCUUGAAAAGAAGCGUGCAACCCGACUGAAAAUUCGAGCAUUUUGUAAACUCACCUCGGUGGUGGUGAUCAAGCUCAUGGCGCCAUGGGCAUCCGGCCGGCCGAGCUUGCUGCUCUCCUGGUAGAACCGGUAGACCAGCUCGGGCGACUGAUGAAGGAUAUGGUAGUACUGCUGAACAAACGCGUUCCCCACCUGCACCACCAGCCUUCAAGUCACAGACAGCAUCGAGACAAGAAAGAGAGGCAAGACAAAACAGAGACGAAUCCCCUACCACUUGAGCCGACAACGGGGAUCGGCCGGCGACCGACGGCUGGACGGCCAUUUCGCGAGGGGUAAGCUCUAGGGAGGUCCGGUGAAACCCUAGCAACGGAUCCGAAUGCCGCCGUCAGGGAGGAUAGAUGCGAGGACGAAGGCGAGGGUAGGGCGGGACAGGCUACCUUACAGGGAGCGGUCUGCUACACGUCCGAAGGGCGGGGAAGGAAGGAACUGCUCGUUGCUUGGGGGCGCGCGCGUCUCUCUCCCACCUUCCGGUUCCUUUUUCUAGGGUUUGGAGCAUGUGGCCGGGAAAGGGUGAGAUGCGUUAGCCUCCUCGUUUCGACUAGACACGUGAGACAUGUGGUCGGCUAGAACCCACACGGCCUCGGUUGCGGAAACGUGAGUCGCGGGCGGAAUAACGUUGGCGAUUGGCUGGGGAGCGCGCCUCUGUUGACCGUCGGAUCACGGGAUCUGUACUUGAUAGCCAGAUUAUAUCACGUACUUAGUUAUUCUAACCUAUCCUAAGAUAACACGGGGAUGUAGCUCAGAUGGUAGAGCGCUCGCUUAGCAUGCGAGAGGUACGGGGAUCGAUACCCCGCAUCUCCAAUUACUAAAAUUUUCUAUAUUAUUAUAAAAUAAUUUUAUAAAUAAAAAGAUAUUUUACUAUUAAAAAUUAUAUAAAAAAUUUAUAGUUUUUAUAAAUUACAAUAAAAUAAUUUUAUAAAUAAAAACAUAUCUAUUUUUUCUUCCUCAAAUAAUUUUCCUUCAAAAUUAUAGUUGUUAUAAAAUUACCAUAAAAUUACCAUAGGUUUUCGGUCCUCUGUUUUCCAAGAACGAGAUCGAGUUAGGGUGCGAAUACGUUUUCGACUUAAGUGAGGAGUCGGUCAUCUCUUCCAUAAAUUGGGGUCUCCUUCCCUCGAGUCAUCACCAUCAAGGGGUGAAAGAUCUGUGCCGACAAGGAGUAGAAGGUCUGCCAUCCUCGAAAGUGUUUGGCUGAGAAGGAGGCGUAGGGAAAGCACGGCAACAAUGGCCGGGGAGCAGCUCCAAGUGCUCAACGCUCUCGACGUCGCCAAGACGCAGUGGUACCAUUUCACGGCCAUCGUCAUCGCCGGUAUGGGCUUCUUCACCGACGCCUACGACCUCUUCUGCAUCUCCCUCGUCACCAAGCUCCUCGGCCGCAUAUACUACUUUGACGCCAGCUCGGCCUCCCCCGGCACGCUCCCGCCCAACGUGUCCGCGGCCGUGAACGGCGUCGCCUUCUGCGGCACCCUCUCCGGCCAGCUCUUCUUCGGGUGGCUCGGGGAUAAGCUCGGCCGGAAGAAAGUCUACGGCAUGACCCUUAUGAUGAUGGUUAUCUGCUCCGUCGCCUCCGGGCUCUCCUUUGGCCACACCGCCAAGGGCGUCAUGGCCACCCUCUGCUUCUUCCGCUUCUGGCUCGGAUUCGGCAUCGGUGGCGACUACCCCCUCUCCGCCACCAUCAUGUCGGAGUACGCCAACAAGAAGACUCGCGGCGCCUUCAUCGCCGCCGUCUUCGCCAUGCAGGGCUUCGGGAUCCUCGCCGGCGGCAUCGUCGCGAUCGUCGUUUCUGCCGCCUUCAAGAGCCGCUUCGACGCGCCGGCCUAUGCUGUCGACCGUGCCGGCUCCACCGUGCCGGAGGCCGACUACAUUUGGCGUAUAAUCCUCAUGCUUGGCGCCCUCCCGGCGGCCCUGACGUACUACUGGCGGAUGAAGAUGCCCGAGACCGCGCGGUACACCGCCCUGGUGGCCAAGAACGCGAAGCAGGCGGCCGCCGACAUGUCGAAGGUCCUCCGGGUGGAGAUCGUGGUGGAGCAGAACGAAGCCGCCACGGAGGAGGCCAACAGCUUCGGCCUCUUCUCCAGAGAGUUUGCCCGCCGCCACGGCCUCCACCUCGUCGGCACCGCCACCACCUGGUUCCUCCUCGACAUCGCCUUCUACAGCCAGAACCUGUUCCAGAAGGACAUCUUCAGCGCCAUCAACUGGAUUCCCAAGGCGGCGACCAUGAAUGCCAUCGAGGAGGUGUUCCGGAUCGCCCGGGCGCAGACGCUCAUCGCGCUCUGCGGCACCGUUCCGGGCUACUGGUACACCGUGGCCUUCAUCGACAUCAUCGGCCGGUUCGCCAUCCAGAUCAUGGGAUUCUUCUUCAUGACCGUCUUCAUGCUCGGCCUGGCCAUCCCCUAUCACCACUGGACCACCAAGGGCAACCACAUCGGCUUCGUCGUCGUGUACGCCUUCACCUUCUUCUUCGCCAACUUCGGGCCCAACAGCACCACCUUCAUCGUGCCGGCGGAGAUCUUCCCCGCGAGGCUGCGGUCCACGUGUCACGGCAUCUCUGCAGCCGCGGGCAAGGCCGGGGCCAUGGUGGGCGCGUUCGGGUUCCUGUACGCGGCGCAGAGCAGGGACCCGGCGAAGAGGGACAAGGGCUACCCGGCCGGCAUCGGCGUGCGGAACGCGCUCUUCGUGCUGGCGGCCUGCAAUCUUCUGGGCCUCGUCUUCACCUUCUUGGUUCCAGAAUCAAAGGGGAAGUCGCUCGAGGAAAUGUCCGGAGAGAACGAAGCCGAGGAGCUGAUGGAAUCGGUGGCGCCUCACAGCAGACCGCCGCCAUUUAGCUUCUUCACGUACUCAAAAACUUAAAGCUUAUUUCUAGUCAAUAAUAAUAAUAAUAAUAAUAAUAAUAAUAAUAAAUAGUUUUGGGAAGUUAACGAAUAGGUUAGGUCGAACCAAUUCAUCAAUUUGAUUAGGUUCGACUAAACCAAUUCUCUCGGUUUGAUCUAAUCGGUUUUCUUAUUAGCCUUUUUCUUUAAAUAAAAAAAACCAUGUUUGACGAAUAAUUUCUGCUUUUGCUUUCUUGUUUCGCUUAAGAUUAUAACAAAAACGUUUUUGCUUUUGUAUUUUAUUUCCCUUCAAAAUUUAGGCCCAAGAAAAAGCAAAAAGUGAAUGAUGUGAACAUUCUAUGAGAAAUCUGUAGAUUAGUUGGUUAAUAUAAAAGAUGUGGAAAUGAAUCAAGUAAUUAUUAAUGAAAUAAGGAGUGGCCAAAAAAUAUAAUAAUUGUUUUCUGAAACAAAAAUAAAAUAAUAAAAUAUCCUUUGGGAUUGAGAGUGUCAAUCACAUGAACGUUCUCCCAUCAAUCACAAUGUGCAUGUAAUAAAUACUAAGCAGAAGGUUACUACUGUCUUCACUCCACCACCACAAGCUCACGUUCCUUAUCCCCCUUCCACACCACAUAACGAGGGAAAGAUGUGAGUGAGGGAGCAAGCCAACCAAGCCCGCUUUCUCCAAAAUGCCACUCUAACACUAUGCCAUCCUCCUCCACUUCCUCCUCUCUUCAAUGGCGUCUCUGCCGUCUCUUGCCAUCAGUGGCACCCCCCACAGGCUCGACGCCGACGUCCGAAAGCUCUCUCCCGCAUCUGUUCCCUUCGAAAGGGUAAUCAUCAUCAUCAUCUGCUUGCCUACUGCCCCCUCAUCUAUAUCAUUGCCACUGACUGUUGUGGCAACCCAUAAUUCAAGUGUAAAAAUGGCAUUUUGAUGCAGAGGCUGUCCUACCAGAGAAGUCCCCCGACGGCGGACGGUAGCUGGGAGGCGUCGGUGCAGCCUCUUGACGCGCGAGAAGCCCUCGCCCUGCUAAGAGAGGGAACCGGCGUCGAGUCGGCCUUUUAUGUUCCCCUUCUGCAACAAUGCGUCGAAACCAGGUCACUCCCUGAUGCACAAGUUAUCCAUGCCCAUAUUAUAAAGACCGGCACUCACGAGGAGGCCUUCGUAUCGACAUCUCUCGUCGAUGUGUAUAUGAAAUGUGGUGCCCCCCAUCAUGCCCGUAAGCUUUUUGAUACAUUACCUCGGAGGAAUGUUGUCACUUGGACCGCAUUGAUCACUGGUUACGUUCGCAAUUCAGAGCCUGAGAAUGCGAUUCUGGUAUUUGUUCGGUUGCUGGAAUCAGGGUGUUAUCCUACGAACUAUACGCUAGGAGCUGUUCUGAGCGCAUGUUGUGCUCGGUACUCGAUUGAGCUCGGCAGGCAAGUUCAUGGAUAUAUGGUCAAGUACGGGAUCGAGUCCGAAACAAGCAUGGGCAACUCGCUUUGCAGCUUGUACUCUAAAUGCGGCAGCUUGGAGUCUUCGGUGAAAGCAUUUCGAAGAAUCCCCAACAAGAAUGUGAUAUCUUGGACGUCCAUCAUAUCUGCUUGCGGUGAUAAUGGUGAUACCGAAUUGGGCCUGACAUUGUUUGCCGAUAUGCUUUCGGAAGAUGUUGAGCCGAAUGAGUACACAUUGACCAGUGCUCUCAGCUUGUGCUGCAUGUUACAGGAUCUCAGUCUUGGAAAGCAAAUCCACUCUUUCUGCAUCAAGUUUGGGUGUGAAUCACAGCUUCCUGUAAAGAAUUCGAUCAUGUAUUUGUAUUUGAAAUGCGAGGAGAUUAAUGAGGCGAGGAGAUUGUUCAAUGAGAUGGACACAGUUAGCCUGAUUACAUGGAAUGCGAUGAUUGCAGGACAUGCUCAAAUGAUGAAUUUGGCGAAGGAUGAUAUGGCAGCCCAUCAUAGUGGCUUUGAAGCCCUUAAAGUGUUUCAGAAGCUUAAUCGAUCAGGAAUGAAACCUGAUCUGUACAGCUUUUCAAGUAUUCUUACUGUUUGCAGUGGUCUUCUGGCCAUAGAACAAGGGGAACAAAUUCAUGCUCAGACCAUCAAAAGCGGGUAUUUGUCAGAUGUAGUCGUCAGCAGUGCGCUAGUGAAUAUGUACAACAAAUGUGGUUGCAUCGACGAUGCGACCAAAGCAUUUGUGGAGAUGUCAACAAGGACCUUGAUAUCUUGGACUUCUAUGCUUACUGGCUACUCCCAGCAUGGCCGUUCCAAGGAAGCAAUACAGCUUUUCGAGGACAUGAGGUUGGUUGGUGUAAGGCCUAACCAAAUCACAUUUGUUGGUGUGUUGUCUGCCUGUAGUCAUGCAGGCAUGGUUGAUGAGGCUGAGUACUAUUUCAACAUGAUGAAGAAUGAAUAUGGUAUCAAGCCUGUCAUGGACCAUUAUGCAUGUAUGGUUGAUAUGUUUGUUAGGCAGGGACGAUUGGAGGAUGCUUUUGCUUUUGUGAAGAAAAUGAAUUUUGAGCCAAAUGAGAUAAUAUGGUCGAUCCUGAUUGCUGGUUGUCGAAGCCAUGGUAACGUGGAUCUAGGAUUCUAUGCAGCUGAGAGGCUGCUAGAGCUCAAACCUAAAGGGAUCGAGACGUACAUAUUGUUGUUGAAUAUGUAUAUAUCAGCUGAGAGAUGGCAGGAUGUUUCAAGAGUGAGAAAGGUGAUGAAAAAUGAGAACAUUGGUAGCAUCAGAGACAGGAGCUGGAUUAGCAUCAAAGACAAAGUCUAUUUCUUCAGGGCUAAUGAUAGAUCCCACCGACAGAGUGCGGAGAUGUAUGCAUUGUUGGAGAGCUUGCUCCAGAAAGCAACAUGUCUGGGAUAUGUACCUUACAAGAGUGUUGAGUUGUCCGACAAAGAAGAUGAAGAAAACUCAGUUGGUUCCGCUGCUGCUACACACCAUAGCGAAAGAUUGGCUAUUGCCUUUGGACUGAUAAAUACGACAGAGGGUACAACCAUAAGGGUUGUCAAGAAUAUCACAAUGUGCAGGGACUGCCAUAAUUCUGUGAAGUUCUUCUCAAUUCUAACCAAAAGAGAGAUCAUCGUAAGGGAUAGUAAGCGGCUACACAGGUUCACGGAUGGCAGAUGUUCGUGCGGGGAUUUUGGUGCUCUUCUACUAUGAUACUGAUGAUAAAUGUUCUCAUUUUUAUGUCCAAAAAAUCCAUGGUUUCCAUGGUUUAAAACUUGGACAUGCUCCUCUUCUUGAGGUUAUCAGAUUUCAUCACUCAGCCUGCAAACUACUGUGAUAGAUUUCGAAAGAGUUUGUUGGUCAUUUCAUUCUUUUACCUGAUCUUCUAAUUUGAAUUGACUACUUGUGGAUCUUGUAAAUUGAGGCUCAAACCAAUUCAGAAAUGAUCUUUCUGAGUUUUGGGUACAAAUGCUAUCUUUUCUUUUCAAAUUUGAAGUUGAAACAAAAGUUAGUAUUACUUCCAGUGAUUUUUGGAGAAUUAUGUUGAUUAAAAUGGAUAUCUUACAAUCUAGUUCUUGUGAAAAUAUGGUUACAGAAGAAUACGAUAUCUUCAUUGAUUUACUAGUGUUUGUAUAAGACCCUAAUUUUUUUUCCUUUUGUGCUUUUGUAUAUAUAUAUCGAUAUUUAGAGAAUUACAUUAUAAAAAAAAAUUAUGUUUUUUAGAUCAAAUUAUUAAAACGAAUAUACGAUAUUCAUUCAAAAAAAUUUAAAUCACAUAAAAAUAUUAAUAUGAUAAUAUUGUGUCAAAUCCAACUACUAAGAAUUUAUAAUCUCAUCUCACAAAUAUUAAUAGAUACAACAAGAUCCUAUUCAAUCCGGUAUAUUUGAUAAUGAUGGAUAAAACAUAACCAGUUGUUGGCUAAGAUCAAAUCAUUAUUUGGACCUACCAACUUAUCAUAGAAUAUAAUCUGUGCAAGACUAUAUACUCCCACGCUUUCAACAAAUUCUGCCACGUUUUCCAAGUUAGGUGGGUCCCAUGCUAGCUUCUUAAUCGUCGUCUUGUGGAGGAGGACACGAGUAGGUGAGUGGAGUAAAUGAAAUAAUAUCGUUCAUGGUUCUUAUAGUCCCACUGAGCAUAUUCUUCAACCUGAGAAAAAUAUAUGUAUUUAUAAAUAUAUAUAUAUAUAUAUAUAUUAUAUAUAUAUGUAUACAUAUACAUAUAUAUAUAUAUAUGUAUAUGUAUACAUAAUUUUGAACCGACAUAAUUUUUACCGCUACAUUGAUUCACCCCUCCUCUUAGUGCCGACUCAUUCCUAACCCACAUUACGGGCUAAUAUAUAAUAAUAAAAAGAAAAUGAUUAUGGUAAUUCCAAACAUAAAAAUGAAAAAUAAAACCCAAGUAACAGUAUACCAAAUGGAAACGGAGACUUGCUUCGGUGGGUCCCACCGUUGGCGUCCUUACCUCGAACGAGUAUGUGUUCGGGUUGCUCAUAUCCAGCGCGAAUGGUUUUGUCCCAAGGAGAAGUGACACCGUGUCCUCGACUUUCUUGAUGUCCGGUAAGGAUUCGCUCGAUGGAAAGAUCGGACGGAUGAUCUCAUGUCUCGCAUACAACGAUUAUAGGGAGCGGUAAUGUUUAAGACCGCACGCCGUCGUGGCAGUUUCGUGAUGGUCAUGGAGAAGUCGGGUGCUCGGGAAGCCCUCAUCUGUUAAUCGUGCUCUGUUACAGCGGACGGGCUUCGUCUUUACGCCUCUCUGGAGUCGAGGCGUCGGAGAGAGCGGCGAAGGGUGUCGCGAGCGAUCGAGCAGGAAACCCUAUUUAUCGAUCGAUCCCCACUUGGAAUCGAGCCCUCGAGAGAAAACAGUCGAUGUCGGAGGUGUUCUCUGUGGUUUUUUGAGGGUUUUAAUCGGCCAUGGCGCUUGGGAAGCUCACCAUCGUCCUCGGAGCGGGUAACCCCCCCACCCCCCCUCUCUCUCUCUCUCACACACACACACCACCCGGAAAACACUGUAAUUUGCCGUCAUUUCCGCGGGAUUGGCUCUAGUUUUGAUUCUACGAGUACUUAAGCUUUGCAAGAAUUUGGUUUUGGUGAUAGGAUCGAAUGUGAUCUUGGUUCCUUUCCUUCGACUUUUUUCUUUUGUCGAGGAUUUGCACGGUGUGCUGUUAAUUAUCUCGAGGGGUUUCAUGGAAUCAAGUUAGUUUCGGUUCUUCUUGCUCUGCAGUCGGAUCAACUAAUUGUCUUGCAGGUUUAAUUGGGUCCAUGCUUACGAAGGAUAGGAAUCUAUCUGAUAUUACACCCCUUUUUUCUGGUGCUUUCAGGGUAAGUUUCUUAAUCUUCAUAUUACUUGCUUAUUGCUGAUAAACCAAUGCUUCUCCUGUCAACCAUGAUUUAUCUUUAUGUUAAGCGUUUAACAGGAAGUCAUCAGCUGGUCCUUUUUGUAAUGAUCGAAAUACUAAUUAUGCAGAUUUUUACGAAGCACCUGCAACAAGAUAAAGACAACCCUCGGUCCACUAGCAAACCCCAAACUGAUUCUCUGUUAGCUCAGGUUUGCGUGUCACCCUUAGAAUGCUCCACAGAAGAGUUUGGUGUUGCAUGUUGUCCAAUGCUAAUGGACACUGUCAUCAGUUUUCGUUGUUUUCAGUCGUAGGAGGAUGCAUCCAUGCUGAUGGUGUAUUAAUUUUUGUAGGUUAACACACUUCGAGAGGAGCUGCAACUCUUGGCAUCAUCAAGAUCAGUUACAAUUGUUACUGGUGAUGGAUCAGGUUCGAGAUAUUCUCCCUGCUCCUCAUAGAACUUGUUAUUUUUGCAGUGUGAUAUGCUUAAUUCAGUAUACAGUUUAUUUUAACAUGGAUACGUGGUUUCAUGAUGAUCAAUAUUUUAAAAAUAGUAAAGUUGGACUGACACCAUGUAAAAUGCUUUAUGUUGUUGCAUCAUAAAGUUUUUGUGAGUGAACAGUGAUUGAUUCUGACAUUUUCUUCGUACUUUGUUUCUAGUAUUUUGCACAAGUAGCCAAAUGCAGCAUCAUUAUUACUUGAACUAAAGUUUGCUAGAUGAAGGUCACUGAAUCGAAGAAUGCUAAAAUUUCUAAUGUUACAUAUUUUACAUGCCAUUUUAAUUUUUUAGAGAAAAUUUGGGGGCAUAGAGUCAUCAAAUUAGCUUGGAAUAAUCUUAUAUUCUUAAAUUGAAUAAGGCUGUUAGAAGUAUUUCAAAAUUCUGUUUGAUUGAAAUUCUAUGGUGGAAUAAGGUUUUUAUUGUCAAAUGACUUAAAUCAUUAAAACGUCGGAAUUAUAAUAUGUUGCUGCAUGAUCUUCAGCAAGGAUUGCAAUUACUUUCAUCUAUAACCCUUUGAUCAGGUGUGAAUCAUUCUGUUGGACCAAAAUAGUUCGAAAGUAGUGAAUGUCAAACCAUUUAGCCGGUACUCAAUGGUAUUUUGCCUUUUUUUAGAAUACCAUCCUAUUUACACUAGUUAACCUCUGGUCCUUGCUCGGACCGGUAUUUUCUGCCCUAACAAGGUUGGUGUACUAGAAAACUGCAGUCAAUGGUCUUCAGUAUUAGAAAAUAACAAAUAUGUACUUCAUAUGGUGUGGUUUUGAAAUUGCAAUGCUAUCUUCAGUAGUCUUUUACCCAACAAUUAAAAGUGAGUUGAAUGAAGGAUCCUCAAUCCCACCCCAUCAACCCUAUGAUCACACCCAUCCAACCAUUUACCCCAAAAAAAAGGGGAGUAGUGAUUGAAUGAUCUUCUAGAGCUAGUCAUAAUUAGAAGUUUUGACAAAAUUCAUUCGAAAUGAAAAAUCUACUAAUAUUCCCAUCACAGCCCUUACCUAAUGAUAUAAUGUGAUGGAGUAGUCCCUUGACUGUUAGUUUUGGCGAAUUGAUUCAGGCCGUGGUUACAAAUUAUCUAUCGACAUGCUGGGGCCCGUAUAGGCAAUGGUUCACUGGCAUGAACAGGUCCAGUUUCUGGUAAUGCUACCUAAGACAAAAUCAGGGGCAGUAAUUCUUCUCCUCCCUGUUCUGUAGAAAUUGUCACAUCUUAGUGGGUUUCAUCAGUUUCUAAUGUUUUGUAAUGUUCAGGACCUUAUUUCAAGUAGCAGAACGUACUGCUGAUAGUUGAUAGUUAUGUCAGAUGUUUUUCUAUUGCAUUAUUUUCUUCUGUAUAAUAUGGUCAACUUGUUAUUGUUCUCUUUUGAUCAUGGUAUUUCAAGUAAUUUGUCUGUUAACCUUUAUAAUUUCAAUUGCAGAUUCCAGAAGAAACAGGGUAACAGCCAUUAUUGUUGUUGGAGCUCUUGGAUAUGUUUUUAUAUGGUGGAAGGUAUUCUUCAUGUAUACUACGAAUGGACGUAGAAGUUUAAGCUAGAGAUGAGCAUUAAAUGAGUUCGUUUAUCAUAGUAAUCCUGAUGCUGCCUUCUUCAAUAAUGUCUCUAGGAAUUUAUAUUUUUUGCAUGUAUCCUAAUACUACAUGUGAUUCCGUAUAGACUGGACAAUUGAAAUGGUAGAAUGUGUAAAGAUGGUUUCUUUGAUUGAUGGACUUAAUUAGCAAUUCUGAAGACAAUCUUUUGAAUGAUAUUUUGAGGAGGAAGAAUAUUGCUUCUUGAUUGGUUCUUUGAUUCACGAGGUUAUUAGCAAUAUUUGAAGAUAAUCUUUUGAAUAAAAUUUUAGGAAAAAAGAAUGUUGCUUCUUGAUGCAAGGAGCACAGUGGCAGUAGAGAAUUUUAUAAGCUAUAUAUUGUAGUAGAAGUUGAGAAAUAAAAUCAAACAUAGAAGAGGGUGAUUGCAAGUGUAGUUUGAAUGAACAAAUGAGGUUGUGUUUGUAUUCUAAAUAAAAAUCAAAAGACCAUGGGAAGGAGGAUCCUAGUAGACCUAAAAGAUAAUCGUGAUAAUCUCAAAUUGUAUAUAACAUAUUCAAAAGGUGCCACUUUAGAGCAACUAUUGCAGAUUCACAAUGUCACUGUCGCACUUGGAAUAGUACCUCUACCUAAAGUUUUGCUUCUUAUGUGCUGGAUCAUAUGGUUGCCGUGAGAUAUUGAUUUGCCAAUCAAUUGAAGUUAUUUGUGCAUAAAAUUUUUGAAUGAUUUUGAAGAUUCUAGAUUACUGCUUCCAGAGAUUUUAGAUUAUUGCUAAUGUUUGAGUCUGAAAAGAAACAUAAUGAGACAGCAUAAUGAGGUAGUUAAAUGUUGAACAGGGUCAUCAUGCUGUACUUUCUACCAAAUUCAUUUUUAACAGUGAUCCUGUUGGUCAGCAGGGUGCUUAUUUGAUAUGUUGUGAAUGAUAUUUGAAUUUGCAUUAUUAAACUGUAUAGUUAAAUGCUAGUAUUUUGCAUCUCAUAGGGAUGGAAACUUUCAGACAUGAUGUUUGUGACACGGCGUGGCUUAUCUGAUGCUUGCACUCGAGUAGGCAAGCAAUUGGAGCUACUUUCAUCAUCUAUUGCAGUACGUUUUUAUUGUUAAAGUUUAUCUUGAUUUAUAUUCUGAAAGUCAGUUUAAUAUUAAACAACUCUUUUCUCAUUCCAACUUGCUCUAAAUUAUGAAACAUUAUAAAUAGGAUGUCUUUUUCUGAAAUCAUAUGAUGCAGUGUUUGAAUCAUAUUGCCUUUUGUUUCCAGCAUAAUGGAGGUCAAAAUUGAGGUUUACAGUUGAUGAAUCUGCUAAAAUAUCUAAAUAAGUUAUGCAUGAAUAGUAAUUUUGAUAGUCAAGUUGGUGCUUGUCUCGGUCACCAAAAACUAACCUGAAUACUCGUGUAUCGAGAUUGGAUUGCAAUCCAAAGCUGACAGGUCUACCUGAUUUGUACUAUUUAACGGGAAAACAAUGUGUUGCAAUUUCUUUUUUUCUGAGGUAAAUUGGUCCAGCUCAGAUUAAUUUUUAGUUGGUCUGGAAGUAUGGCUAAACAACUUAGUUAAGAGUCUUACAAUCAUUAUCUUUAGUUGAGUUUCUAAAAUGGAUGAAUCUAAACUUGGUGAACUUAAUCUUUCUUUAUUGUACCUCUUUCCAAGCUCAAGACGUGAAUCCUUGGUCAUCGAGAUAAACUUAACAUCAUUGCCAUGGUUUUCAUGUUACAGAGAAGCUACAAGAGGCUGGAUCAAUCACCAACCUCCAUGGGGGUUAUACCUUGGCUAGUCCUAGACACGUUCUUUUUUUUUUUUUUUUUGAUUUUUUUGGAGAUAGUUUCACUUUCAUGGAUAUUGUUGGCUGCUACUUGAGAUUGAGUUUGGAAUCAUUUCUUGUUGUAUUAUCAUCUUUGAGUUCUGUUUUGCUUAUUAGUAGUAGUAAGAGUCAUGCUUAGAGACUUUUAGAUGUGUUUUUAGUUAGCUUUUUUUUGGAGUUUAAAUUGUCUAAAGAGAAAAAUUAUCCCAUAAUUUAUUUCUAUAUGACAUCUCGUACAUCCUGGAGGCUAUGUCUUGGUAAUGGAUAGUAUUAUUUUCAGUAGAUUAUCAUAUUUUAUUCAUAAAUUCUGUUAUCUUAUUUGUUCUUGGGAGGUCAGUUCUUCUCAAAUUGGAGAAUACAAUCAUAUCCUGUCAACUGGUAUCAGAGUGGUGAAAUCUUCCAACGUGUUCUUCAUUUUUCUACAAUGUCAUCUUCAUGGUGAAGGGAACUAGAAUAAAUGUCAUCUGGGAGAAGAUGACAUUUAUGACAAUGUGACAGAAGGGAACUCACAGCAAUAUGACAAUGAAACUCACUGCAAUAUGUUGUGGCUUCACUGACGUUGUCAAUGCCUUUUCUACUACCUUCUCCUUUGAAGUGCCUCUUGAAGUCUUCAACAGUCUAAAGUAGUUAGAGCAUGUUAAAAUUUCAGCCUGCUGAAAGUGAUGAGCUUCCCUGAUGCAUUUGCCAAUUGGUUUGGUUCAGGUUGAGCAAAUCUGUUAACCCAAAAGUAACAUGACCCAAAACCAACCCAAAUUUCUCGAAUUGCUACUGCUAGUUGUAUCAUGUUGCUGUUACUUUUGAUUGAUUAAUAGACAAAGCAUGUUUGUUUUCCGCACUUAAACAGACUAAUCAUACUAUUGCUGUUGCUUUCUUUCUGCCUCACAUGAUAGUAGUGUAGUUGAAGAAAUAUGCAAGUUAUCGUGGCAAUCUUCUGUUGUAUGUUUAUUCUCCAAUGAGUAAUGUAAAGGAUAUUAUGAUAGAGUAGAUUGCAGUACUGCUGCUUCUGGAAGUAGUAAUUUGGGCUUUACCUUCUUUCUGUAGGAAUCAUGCUAUUCUUUUAAAAAAUUUUAAUGCAUACCACCUCCUUUAAUAGUUGCAGGAGAGACAACAAAAGAAUCACAUUGUCAUUCUUAUUUUUAAGCUUUAAUCAGUAUACACAGAAGUGCAGUCAUCAGAUCAUGCCAUCAUCUUUUUAUAAUUUAAAGCAUCAUGUUCCCUGACGCAUGCCAAAUUUAAUUGGAGUUUCUGACACUAGCACUCAAAUCACCUACUUAAGAACAUAAGUAUGCCUGUUCAAGCAUCAUGCUGUUGCAAACAUCUAAGCUGAUGAAUGGUUGUGUUAACAAAUGAUCACUAGAGCUAACAACUCUGUAAACAUAUUUAAUGAAUAUUUCCUGUUCAAGGGUUGUGUUUCUGCAUUAUGGCCAACAACUGCAUCAGUGAUUUGUCAAAGUGAUUGAAAAUCCAUUUAAUUGUACUUCUGAAUACUUUGAAUUUUUCCUUACCCUUUACUUGAUGUUCUUUUUGUGAUUUUGGCAAUUUUGAUGGAUUCAUAAGGCCUUUUUUUCUAUAAACAAAAGUUUAGCUUUUAGUCUCCUGAAGUCAGAAGCUUUCUUUAAUUUAUUUAUAUCUAUUUGUGAUUGUACCAAACUUAUUAAAUAUUAUUUUUCUAGUUAUAUAAUUUGUUAUCUGCUCUUAUUACUCCAGAGUUAUAGUUGUCUUUUAUAAUCCUCAUUUUCACCCAAAAUUGAGGGAAGGUUUCUAGAACAAUGAGCUUUCAAAACUUUUUUUGAAUUAACUAAACUACAUUCUAGCAUGAGAAUAGAAUGGACUACAGCAAUAAGCCAUUAGCCCACAUAAUUUUGAAAUCUGCUAAUGGAUCUUUUCUUGCCAUUUGGCCAUACAAUAUGCAAGAUAUUUGGAUAAUUAUAUCACCACCAUAAUCUUUUUCCCUUUGUCGUUCUAAUCUGAAUUUAUUUGCAUUAUCCUUAUUGUUGUUCCUAUCAUUGUUCUUUGGUUCCUGAACCAUGACAGUCACCUAAAAUUUAUGGAUCACCGAUUUGUAGGCUGCCAAGCGACAGAUAUCUUCAAGAAUGGAUCGUGUAGACAGUAAUUUGGACGAGUGUAAGGAGCUUGCUGCUGCUACCAAAUGUGAGGUGAGGCAUUACAUUUCUGUACCUGUUACUUGUCAUCCUUCCAAUAGCUGUGGUCUGUCUGCAGGGUGUUACUCUUGUAAAUGCAUCUGUAGGUCUCACAACUGCAUGGGGAUUUAAGUCUGUUCCAUACUGAAGUUGAAUCUGUUCACCGUGCUGUCCAGACUCUGGUAAUUAUGUUAAAUUUACAUUCUUUAGAUCUAAAUCUAUCUUACAUCAGAAGAAAAUAAGAUUAUUCUGUUAGAGUAUAUUCUGAUUCCGAUCUGUAUUGUGCAUCAGGAGACAAAGCUUGGACGAAUAGAGGGAAGUCAGGUAUUACAAAUAUUUUCUUUUUCAUCUGUUUGUUUUUCAUUUGUUGAUUUAGUUCCCAGUGUUGAUUUACUCCAUAUUAGGACUUUGCGACCAGAGGAGUCUAUCAGCUUUGCCAGUUUGUUGAGAGAUUGGAGCAGGGAAGAAACCAAGAGUUUCUUCAGGCAAGCAAUUUGGUUACCUUUAUAUGUUGUUUGAUCGCCUAUUACAUGUCACUCUUUAGUCUGGCAUGCGCAACUAGCUAUAGUUAUAACAUUGUCAUUUUCAAUCAACCGGUAAUUUUUUUACAUAUUGAUUUAUGCUUCAAAUUGACUGUGUUAAUCGGCUCCCAAACAAAAGGAUUGAGCAUAUUUGGUAAAAGAACAAAAGGAUUGGGUAUAAGGAUGCAGCAAGUCCAAAUUGGACACUUCAUGUAAUUAUCAUUUUCUCUAGGUAGUUUUUUCAUUAAUGACUGGUGGCAGCAUGGCUUGUCUGCAAAUUUGCUGACCACUAGCAAAGAUGCUAGUAUAUCAUGUGCAUGGUCCUAAAUUGCUUUUUAGUCAUCAUGUUCUGUGAUUUUUAACAAACUCUUAAAUUUGCAGGACUCACCAACCACUUCUCAGCGAGCUAUUGAACUUCCACAAACUUCUUCAGUAGUGGCAAGGGUGGCCUUAUUACUCUCUGCUUUAUGGAUUGUUUUUCAUUAUUAUUAACUUUUUGCCUAUUCGUAUCUUAAUAAUCCUUGGUUAUCCCAAAACAGACGAGUUCUUUGCCACCUUUAGCAGUAGAAUCACCAUCACCAUCAUCAACAUCGCCGUCUAUUGCUCUUGAGAGCCCUAGGGUGAGCAUUUAUAGCAUUAACUUUAGUUCCUUUUGUGAAUGCUCUAACACGGUGCUUAUUUCUUUGUAAAUUAUGGUUCUCAGAUUCUGCGAUCAUCAACUGCUGUAUCAGCUUCAGGCCUAAAGGUUUGCAGAUCCUGCUGUGUUCCUGAUUUGUCUUUUAAUUCUCUUGCAAAGUUCUUUGAGAAAAAAUCACAAAAAAAAAAAAAAAUCUGAUUGCGCAUUCAGCCGGUUGUGCAUCCAUAAUUCUGUACUAAAUCUUCUUCUGCUUAAUGGUAUAAUGAUAACUGUCAUAUAAGCCUCAUAAGUAACCAAAUGUAAUCUUUAUGGUCUAGGUGUUACACUAACUAAAAAUCAUAAGCUAUUUCUGGUUUAAUAACUAAUGAAAAAAAUAUGAAAGGGAAGAUAGGUGUAGCAGGGUAAACGAGUAGAAAAAAGAAGGGAAAAGAAAUAACAAUAAAGAAUUAGGAGACCUCUUUUUAAGUGAAUGAUUCAUAUGUCGACCCUAUAUAUGACAAUUUCCUAGUAUAGUUUUUAACCAUUUAAAUAGGUUUAACACUGCAGGACACUAGUCAACACUGACCUAAUUUUUGUAAUUUGUGUCCUGUGGAGUCUCACCUAUAUUUUCUUCCAUUUGAAUCCUAGUUACUUAAAGGGCCCUGCUGAUUUAGCAUAUUCUCAAGAAAUAUGUUGAUGCUGAAUAUUUGCUUGCUAGACAACAAUCUAUUUAGAUGACUUGUCGCCCUAGAAACUUUCAAGGUGAUGUGGUCUCACAAAAACGUGAGCCACAUUUACCAGGUUUGUGAGCAGUGACAUCACCCCCGACAGUCUCCAGGUCAUGAAGCCAUCAAGUAAUCAGCAAAGUAGGAUGAGUAAGAGAUGUAGCCAAUCUUCUGGUUCUACAGGUCUGAAUAAACCUUUAAAGUAAUUUGAAGGAACAGCAUAUUAGCUUCUGCAUGGACUUUUCAUAUUCUUGAUCCGAAGUAACUAUUGAAAAGGUGUAUCGAUUAAGGAGCGAGGUCUUUUGUCCAUACAACCAUUAUUAUUUUUCUAAAUAAGAUAAAAAUGCAAAAUCUAGAACUGCAUUAGCUGAGCGAAUUCUAAAGUUUUAUGAUAGUACAGCCAUAUUGUUUUUUUUUUUUUCUAGAUGAUUAGAAAUGAUCAUGUAGGCAUGCCAAGUAUGGCUGUGGAUAUGAUAAAAAAAUUCUUGAGACACCUGACGUGCCUAGCUUAUCAAUUGAUGUUCUCUCUUCAGGAGCUGCAGGAUAUUUCAAAUGCAAUUAAACCAGGAAGCAUGAAAUCAAAUAUGAUGUCUGGAAAUACCUCUGAAGUCUCCAAUGGAACUACUGAAGAACCAAAUGGCACUGCACCAAGUUCCAGUCGGUCCAUCUGGAAGUCUACGGAGGAACAAAACAGUGCUGUGCCAAGUUCCAGCCGGUCCAUGUGGAAGUUGCCAAGCAUCAGUUUUCUCUCGAGAACCCGCAGUUCUGCUACCUAACCACUUGUUGGGUUGCCAAAGAAUUCCUCCGAGUUCUGGGAUGAUGUAGUUUUCGCCACAGGUUAAAGAGAGGGGUAGCGCUCUAAAUUUCAUAAUACAAACCAAACACCAAAUUUUUGUAGAUGUAAAGAUCAUUGGCAAGCAAUUGGUUCAGAAUUGCCCUCUUUAUCAAGUUGACUUUUUUUGUUUCGCAACAACUUGGAGUAGCUGUGGCUUACAAUUAGAUGAAAGAUUGAUGGUACAAAAUAUUCUGUUUAUUUGGCGUUUUGAGCAUAGCCAUUCUAUACGAAGUGUGGUAGCGAAUUAUGUAUACCGAGCUUGUUCUUUGCCUCCCACCUAUUGAGUAUCGUGCAGCUUUUGACGCAGAUCAUAUUUGAGUCCUUUCUUUUACGAUGAUCGUCUUCAAAUAUACAAGUUGUUAAGGCCAAAUGAAAUUUUACUGUACUCGUACUGCAGCACAAGCUAUUGGCAGACACACUCCGAAGGAGCAACAGAGAAGAAACUACACCCAGUUACAAGAAACCUUGUUUGUUACACCUACUAGUAGUUCCUCCGGCCCUCCUCGAUCCUCUCCAGCUUGAGUCGCUCUUGAACGUAGGCGAUAAAGCUCGCGGCUCGCCGAUCUACCUCACUACUGUCGAUGGCGCCGUUGACUGUCGUAUCGUAGCCACCGCGGCCGCCGAUCAUCCCUUCCUUUCUGCCCAAGGGAGCCAGAGGAGGAGGAGGAGGAGCAGGGAUAGUGUUAGUAGCAUAUUUCCCCGAGGACUUUGAUCCUCUUCUAUAGAUUAACCCGCUACGCUUGCUGCUGCCGGACUCCAUUCCCUAACUGAGCUCUUCACCUCACCAGGUUGCUUGUAUCUUCUUCUCUUUCGGUGCUGAUUUAUAGUUAGCAUGUUUGCCAUGUAACAAGUUUAUGAUAAGGUGUACACUCAGAUCCAUCAUAUCUUUCCCAAGUAAAAUAUCUAGUGCAGAAAGAGAGACAGAGUGAUAUGCUAGCUGAAGUGUUCAUUAUUGUGCUGAGAAUAUCUUUUGCCUAGACAUGCAUCAACUUUGGUUUACUAUUGCUGAGUUCCAAAGACACGAGUGAUUGCCAUCUUUCUAUUCCAGGGAUCCAAACAGAUAAGAUCAAUGUCCUCUUCCUCCUCUGAAAUGUGCAUCAGCAAAGAGAAGGACCAGCGUCUCCUUUUUGACCGAUAUCUUCCACUCUGAGUGCCUCACGUACGUCUUUGUCAGCAUAAGGUUUGUUUUCACCACCCAGUCAUUCUUUUACCCGUGAGAUCACUACCAGCCAUUGGCUACACUACUUCAGAUCUUUCUCACUCUAAGUUGAUGGUUUGUGGUUGUUGCCAACUUGGGAUUACUAUGAACUCGUCCUGAUAUUUUUCAGAUUGUUUCAUGGCAGGAAUCAGAAUAAGGAAGCUGUUCUCUACCAAUUGCUUUGCUAGUCCCGGACGGAUUAAAAAAAGUAUUUUAUAUACGAACAAAUAUUAGUAUGUAAUAACAUAUAAUGAAAUUAAAUAAAAAUCACAAUCAAAUAAGAUAUUAAGAUUUACAUAGAAAAUCCCUCCAAUGCGAAUGUUAAAAAUCAUAGAACAAGCUACAAAAAAAUUUACUAUAAAAAUAAUGAACGUACAAAUCUCUAUUGCUCAAAAUGUAAGCAACAAUCAUAAGAGAAUAAUAUAAAUAUAAAGAUUAUGUUACUGUCUAUAAUAUCCAAAAUCUCUCCAAGAAUCUAUUGCAAAUCUAAUCUAAUAUGAGAUGAGAACACUGCUUAGAUGUUUGAGAAUAAUCUAUGUAUUAUCCUUAUCUUCUUCCUUUUCUUUUUUUCUUAUUCUUUUGCCUUUAACUGUUAUUAGAAGAGUUAAGGUUUAGGUUAUUAAAACUCUGCCUAACACCCCCAACUCUCAAAUUAUAUCUCCUCUCAUCCUCAUUUAUGAUUUAAUGAGCACUCCAUGUUAAGAAUAUAAACUAAAAUCAUAUUUCAUCUAAUUGCUUAAAUCACAAAUUUAUAAAUAAAUUUAUGGAAUGAUAUAGAAAAAUAAUUAAGAUGAAGGUCCUUGUCCCCUUAUAAAUAAAAAUAUCUUAAUUAAUUUUGAUUAGUUGGAUUGAGUCAUUUAUAAUCCACACACACACACACAAAUGAAUGACAGAGUGUGUAUUAAGAAUAUAAACUAGUAUCAUGUUUCAUCUAAUGAUUUGAAUGAGUGAAAAACAUAGAUAAAAUAUGUUUCAUUAAUAAGUUAUGGAUCAAAACAAGCCAAUUUAGAACACACUAAUUAAAUGUAGUAAAAGAGAAAAUAUUUUCUUUACUUCCAAUAACAAAGAAUAUAACAAGAUUUUUAUGUGCAGCUUCAAUAUAAUACACACACACACACUCACAUCCAUACUAUUUCUAUUCCUUGCCAUUCAUUAAUUUCAUUUUCAGAUAUUUUCUUCAGAUAAUUACAAUCACCAACAAGAAAACAGUAAGAACAACAAAAUGUUUGAAUGACAGUGCUAUUAUGUUGUAUUGAUGCUAAUUACACACAAUAAACCUUUACAGCUUAUUAUGACAUAAUUAUAGUCUUAAUAUAGUCAUCUCUCAUAACUACAAGAGAAAAUGUAUGAUCACAGCAUUCACCUCCUCAUGUUCUUCUUCCUGAAGAACAUAUCGAAAGCACGAUCCACAAAGAGGAAGUAGGCAAAUCUCCAUGACCUCUUCAGUAUCAAACAGCCCCAGAAUACCCAGAACCCAAAGACAAACCCCAGCAGCAUGGCAAGACCGAACCAGAUGAUGCUGUCUUCUUCAUCCAAACCAUCUUCUUUUUCGGUUCCUGCACCGUCCGAGCAACCUCUGCUCAAUGGAGGUCCACAGAGACCAGCAUUUCCACUGUAGAUGGAUGGGUCAUCAAGCGUUUGUAUCUGAUCACCUCUGGGAAUCCGCCCUGACAAGUUGUUGUUGGAGAGAUUCAACACGCUCAGGAAUGCCAGAUCUGCAAUGCUUGCAGGAAUUGGACCGGAGAGCUGAUUCAUGCAGAGAUCAAGAAACUCCAGCCAUUUCAGGUUGCCGAUUUCCUGUGGAAUCCUCCCGGAUAAAUGAUUCCUUGAUAGGUUGAGGAAGAGCAGCCCUGCAAGAUUUGUCAGCUCCGUGGGGAUCUCUCCCGAGAGAGAGUUGCUGGAGAGGUCGAUCCCUGUGACAAGUGAGAGUGUGCUAUGGAACAUGAGCUCCCUCCCCUUCCAGAUCAUCUGAAUGCUCUCCGAGUACCCCAGCGCGCUGAACUCUACAGCUCUUCCUUCUUGUCUUCUCGCCAUUGCAGAUAGACCAAAGAAGCUCCUCGGUAUGCUUCCCCUGAGAUCGUUGUCUGCAAGGUCCAACACCUGCAGUGAGGCAAGCCGCGAGAGCUGUGGAGGAAUGCUGCCACCGAACAUGUUCGAUCGCAACCUGAGAACUAUCAUGGACGGGAAGCUGUCCCCCACCCAUGUCGGGAUUUCUCCAUGGAAGCCGUUCUCCCCCAGAUCCAGCGCAACGAGAUGCCUGCACUGCUUCAGGGACGAGGGGAACUCCCCAUUGAACCUGUUGCUGUUCAGGUGCAGUGACACGAGUGAUGCAUUGGAGCCCAUCGAGCUUGGGAUGCUCCCAUGGAGAUCGUUGUUUGCUAGAUCGACGUACUGCAUGGCUUCCGUGUCCAGCAAACAGUCGGGUAGCCUCCCUGAGAGGUGGUUGUUCGAGAGAUCGAGGACCUGCAGACCGCUGAAUCUGCAGAGCAAGGGGAUGAUGCUGCUGUCGAUGAGGUUGUCCGAAAGCAGCAAGUACUGCACGUCAGGCAAGUAAGUAGAGCUUGAAUUCGUGAUCUCUUCCCAGUCCACCGGGAGCAUGGCCGUGAAAGAAUUCCUGGAGAGAUCAAUGUAGUUGAGAUCUGGAUGUUGGACGAGCAACUUCCAUACUUGGCCGGAGAGCUUGUUUCCGGACAAAUCUAAGCUUUGAAGAGCCGAAAGUUCAGCUACUGUCGAAGGAAGUGAUCCCGAUAUGCCAUUGUUGCUCAGGUUAAGCCAAGCCAAGGAAACCAAGUUCCCAAGCUCUGCCGGAAUGCUUCCUGUAAGAUUGUUCGACGACAAACUCAGGUAGUAGAGGUUCGUCAUGUUCCCGAACUCUGGUGGAAUUUUACCGGAGAUUCUGUUGUCGUCCAAACGCAGGUUGGCGAGACUCCUCCAUUCCACCCAAGCCGGUGACAGAGUGCCGGUUAACUGGUUCCCAGGAAGGUACAAGGUCUCGAGCUGAGGAUGAGCACCGAAAGCUUCUGAUAGAUCUCCACUGAAGUGGUUCCACCCCAAACUGAUCCUUCGUAUCCCUGUGCAGUUCUUCAGCCAAGCUGGUAGUCUUCCUGUGAAGUUGUUGUUAUCUGCGUAUAGAUAGCGGAGAGUGGAGUUAUUGCAGAGGAGGAGUGGCAGUUCCCCUGAGAAGCUGUUGUUGGUGAGUUGCGCUGUGCUCAGGAGGCCGUUCUUCCCUAGUUCCCCUGGAAGGCUACCUGAGAGCUUGUUGUUGAUGACGAUCAAAGAUUGGAGCUUUGGGAGUGCAGAGAUGGUGCUCGGUAACUCGCCGGAGAACUGGUUCUGGCUGAUGUCUAGGAUCUCCAGAGUCGUCAUGUUCCCAAUCUCUGGCGGGAUUGUGCCGCUUAGCCUGUUGUCAGAGAGUUCCAGCACGGUGAGCUGGGUGAGCCUGCCGAUCUGGUGAGGAAUGGGACCUGUGAACUGGUUGUCCAGGAGUUGCAGAUCCUGCAAUUUGGUCAGAUUGCAGAUCUCUUCCGGGAUCGAGCCGGUGAGAUUGGUCUGGCCGAGGCCCAGGCUUCUGAGCUCUCUGAGCUUGCCGAUCUCCUUGGGGAUUUGCCCGGUGAGUGGAUUGUGAUCCAUCUGAAGCGAGAGAAGCUGCGUCCAAUUGGCGAGAGCUUCCGGCAUCAGCUCGGAGAAUCCAUUUCUCGAUACGUCGAACACCUGAAGUCUCGUCAGCCUCGACAGAGAUGAAGGCAGUACCCCGUCGAACUGGUUGUGGGAAAGAUCCAAGUGCAGCAGCUUAGUGCAGCUUGUGAUCGGAGAAGGGAAUGGCCCGACGAGGUGGUUGUCGGAGAGAGUGAGAUUAGUGAGCUGCGUGAGCAUCGCGAUCUCCUCGGGUACGGUUCCCUCGAGCUGGUUGAAGCUGAGAUCCAAGAAGAUGAGCUUGGAAGCAGCAGAGAUGGCGGGGGGGACGCGGCCAUGGAGGCUGUUGCCGUAGAGAUCGAGGUGGGUGAGGUUAGGGAGGGCAGAGAAGACGAGAUCGAGGAGGGUGCCGUUGAGGCCGGAAGAGGGCAAACGUAGCUGCACGAGGCUGCCGGCGGCGUCGCAGCGGACUCCGAACCAGUUGCAUGGGGUCGUGGCGUUGGUGAGCGACCAUGAGCUGAGCGUGUCGGGUUGGAACAAGCUGGUCUUCCAAUUCACGAGAGCCUCUGCUGCUGUUGCAGCUCCAGUUUCUGCAGUACAAGUCGGUAGGAGGAAGAGGAAGAAAGGAAGGAAUUGGAUUGGCUUCAUGGCGUCCGAUCGGGAACGAGACGAAGCUGUUGGUGGUCCUUAACCAUUUCCCGGAGCUGAAAGGUCCGCAGCUUCGGGAAGUCAGCACAUCAAUGGAGAAAAGUCAAAAUUACAAUGCAGAGAGCAUUGUAUUUUGACCAACUGAAAAAAACAAUUUAUAAUAAUUUAUAUGCCUUUAUGAUUCUUCAUGAAUCUAUAAUAAUUUUAAAUAUGAGAUUUUUAUAUUAAUAAAAUAAUUAUAUGCCUUUAAAAUUUUAAUUUAUUUCUAAAUAUUAUUCAUUUAAUAUCCAUAUAUUUUUACUAUCAUUAAAUAUCUUAUUAAUAAUAAUCAAAAUAAUUUAUUUUACUAUGUAAGCUAAUUAUCAUCUUCAUUCCUCACCAGUAUCUAAUAUAUUUAAAGAUAAGGGAAGGGAAGGGAAGAGAAGAAGAGAGAGAUGGAGAUGUCCUCAACUGCAGCAGUUCACUGCUGUCCGAUUCCCUCCGUCUCCAAGCCUCGACCCUCACCACUCUCUUCUCUCAUGCUACAAGCAAAAGGCUUCCUUCUCUCUUCCUUGGCUCCUUUGGGCCUUGCCAUAGUUCUUAGCUCUCCCUUGCCCUCCGUUGCAGCACUCCCUUAUCCUAAUCCUCAGUCUCCUCCUUCCUCACCUGCCACUCCCUACGCGCAGUCUCAGAAGCUGCAGCUAGGGCUAGAGAAUGGGUACAUUCAUUCCUACUGCCUACUCCGUUUCUUCCUUCUCCUUUGUUCGUCACAGGCCAAAAGACCAACGAGGUGUUCUAAUGCAGGAAGAUUAGAGCUUGUCCAUCCAUCAAUCCUGGUUGCGUCUCCACGAACCCGAACUCGUCGUCGUUUGCUUUUCCAUGGAUGAUCCCUGAUAAUUUCUCGGGAGAUGUCAUUCAGGUGAGCAAUAACUCGUUUGAUGAAAUGCCACUAUGUGCUCUCUACAUGUAUCCUCUCUCUCUCUCUCUCUCUCUCUCUCUCUCUUUCUUUCUCUUAAAACAGAGUUUGCGUGAUGCAAUCCUGAGAACACAGCGGAACGUUGAGUUCAAGGUAGACGAAGAAACACCUGACGGUAAUUCAUUUAAAUUUGAUGCCUAUGCUUUGAUGCAAUUAUUAGUCUUCAAUUAGUUGUCUCAGUGGUGUCAAUGUCCUCAGUGUCCUAAAUUUAUUGGCUUUUGUUGGAAUUUUGUACUUUAUCAUAAUUAGUAAAAAAAAUUACAUAAGCAUUUGAUUCAGGUUACAGUCCAUGGACACAUUUGUAUCAUCAGUAUGAUUUGUCAAUAUACUCCGACGGCCCACUCCUAUCAAAGCUUUUCUCUUGUUUAACUCAUAAAUGUACCAUGUAAUGUGUUUUGAACUGGAUCAGGACAUAAUUAAAUCUUCAAAAGAAUAGGGAAUGCAUGCUUCUUGAUGCUCAUAUUCUUUGAAGUUUAUUGUUCAUUGAUACAGUUCUCAGCUUACUGUCUUUCAGAGUUCUAGCUAUCAGAAAUUUAACUUUGAAACAUGUAGGUUGUGAGCAAUAGAGAGGCAGGAUCAGAUUUAAUACAAAGUUACUCUCAACAAGUUCAGUUUCUGUUGAAACUUGUGAUGACAACUAUGUUAUCUAACACAAAGCUGCUAAGAAUAAAGAAAAGAUGUGGUUCCUAUUGUAAACGGCAUCUUACUUCAGCUCCAUCCUAUGGAAGACUAAACAGCUUCUUUGCCUCUUGUGAACUCAUAAUGCAACAUGAGUGGACAGGUAAAUAUUUAACAGUUCAACAAAAGAAUAAUUAAUCAGAUGGAAUACAAAAAAAGAAACAAUAAUGAAGACAAUAAAUUCAUUUUACAAUAGGUUUACUAGAAAAAAAGACCAUUAGGAAGGGACAACAUAUUCUUAGAUUUGGUGAUCCGCAACGAGUAAAAGCUUGCUUUAAUACACUCUCUAAUGUUCAUAAGCACUUCCUGCUUGCAGCGGAGAAAAAUCAUGCUAUAUUAUAUUACCUAACAACUGGAUAAUAUACUAAUGCACUUAUUUCUAUAAAUCCACACACCUGUUAGGCCCUUGGCUAUACAGUAAGCUAUAUAUUAAUUAUAAAUACAACAUGUUUGUGAUAUAAACUAACACAAAGCUUUCUUAUCCACACUCCUUCAAAGCUUAUAUUAACUUGUCUAGAGUCUAAAGCUCUCAGAAAUCAGCCAUUUUUUUCUUAAGUAGCUUAGAGAAAGUUUCAUAUCUUUAUUUCGAUGCAAAUCUUUCUUGCAACGAUUAGGUUGGGUUUGCUGGUGAGUGGACCACAUUAUUCAACUAAGUCAAUGAUUUUCACACAUCGUGAACACUCCUUUUGAGCAUAUAUCAUUUUUUCUAUAAUAAAAUAUUCAGACGGCUCAAAACUAAAAAAUCAUCCAGUUAUUCAUUUAGGUAGUUCAUAAAAUCUUAAUAGCAUAUGGUUCUUUUAGAUGAACAACUUAUAACAACUACUGUAGUGAGGUUGAUGAAAUGACUAGACAUAUAUCUGAUUAUAUAAUCUUCACAUCUUAUGCCCCAUCCUCAAGGCUUACUGGCUUUCGUUAUAAUUCUUGGCUCAUAAUUUGAAUCAUGGAACUUUGGUAUAUCAACCAUCGCUAUAAUGUUCAUGAUUUGUACAUCUUUUUUUACAUAUGUUUUUCCAUUUCGUCUUUUUCUUAUCAAACGUAUGUUCACCCAUAAAGGACAAAGCAGGGUGACAUACUUGACAUUGCAUUUAUCAGGGAACUAUAUACAAGCAGAGGUUGAUGGAGGAUUUGGACGUGAUGUAAUGGAGUUCCUGGUUAGAAAAGAUGUUGUUGCUUUUAGAUCAAUGGCAACAAAAGUCACAUAUAUUUACCCAUUCACAACAGCUUUAGGUGACUCCAAAGGACAAAUUGAACGAAUCAACAGAAUCAAGGAAGAAUUGGGUUGGUAUGCUCCCAAUUUUGAAUCCAUGGAUUAAACAGGUUGGUUUCUGUAAAAUCACCUCUAUAGCAUAUUUUCUCUGUAUAUGCUGCAAACCAAGUGUAUUGAAUGGCAUUGAUUGAGCACAGGCUAUGUGCCUUUAUGCGAUGGUACCAGAUGAUGAUUUAACAAAACUUUGAUGAAUUGAAAUCUUUUUUUUUCUCUUGUAUGAUGCUUCUGUUAAGGCAUUACGUUGUAUGUCUAAUAUCAUUAGAAAUUUCUUGAGCUGGUCCAUUUCCUGGCAAUGGAGUAAGUCAUCUUCAAAAGGGCACAGAAACUAGAGGUAAUUGCUUGGAACAUAAUUAUCUGUCAAUCUCAUGUGAGCUGUGUAAAUGAUUAAGAAGUAUGACCUAGUACUGAUAAAGUAAGAAAUUUUAGUCUCGUCUACAGAAUAAUAGAAAGUAAGAAUAAAAGUUUGAAAUUACAGGCAUGACAUUGCUCAUCCCAUACUGAUCAGAAGAAAAUGAUUUUAUUGCUAGUAUGCCUGUUGUACAUCUGAAGGUCAUUAAUAUCAGCAUUCACUCACUAGAAGUGUCUUUAUUCAUUGCUUUUCACUGUUGACUAUCAGACAGUUUUCCUUUGAACUAAUUCCUACUGCUCUCAUUACUCACAUUAGCUGAAGGAAACCUUCGAAGUCUAAAUUCUAUGCCUAUUCCCAGGGGAUCUAUACAGGAAAGAUGCUUUAAAUCUUAGAUAUCUGGUUGUUUAGAUAAUGUGAGUACCACCUCAAGUUCCUCUUAUUACCAUUUAAAUGCUGUUUUGGCAGCCUUUUUGUUGUUUGACUGCACAACUGCAGUUUGUAGAUUUAUGGUUCUGGAAAAUUUUCCAAGAUACUGAUUUUCCUGGAUGAGUACACAUUAGAAAGUGAAAUUAUGUUAAGUAAAAGUCAUUGAUGAAAGCACUAAACAAUUAACUUGUUCUCAGGAUUCAAAACAAUAAAAACCUUCUUUUCAGAAUCUGUUGAUGUUUUCACAAGAAAUUUUUAAAGAAAGACAUGAGCUGUAACAUUCUAGAAAUGACAAGAACACACAAUUGGAGUAUGUAAGGUUCGAACUGAAUCGAACCUGAUUUGAUAAAGUUGUCACAUGUGCAUUGUGAUGUAUUGAUGGUUAUUUGCUGCAAAAUACUAUCCCAUUUGACUAUAUGGGAGCAUUUAGGGACCCAUGUGGUGAAAGGGACUUUGAAGAACUUAUUGCUUCACUUGUUGAACAGGUAAAAGUAAUCAAUGCUCUACCAUCUCAUGCCUUGCUUGAUCAAGUUACACACUGAGCAAAAGAAAGCAAUGUGUAAACCUACUAUUUUUGUUAGUAACCCUCUGAAGGAAGGUCUUUUAUGGUCCAACUAAGAUGAAAAAUACUGUCCGAAAAAUGCCUUUCCCAAAAGUAAACCUAGAGUGAAGUUUUGAACCAAAUCUAACCCUUCUUUCAUAAAAUUGAUCACUGAGCUCCCUUUUGAGACUUAUUCAUUGUGAUGUUACAAACAGCAGAAUCAUGUUAUAGAUAUCUUUUCUUUUUUUAAGUUGGAUUUGUGUUCCAUCAGCUCUGUCACUUAUUUUUCUAACAUGAAUGGUUAUCCACAAAAUAAGCUUAUCAUUUCCCCAUAUUUUACAGCAAUAGUGUAUUAAAGUUUCAAAGUUUUGUUUUCAUUGGAUUAGUUUAAACUCAUACUUGAGAGGAUUUUUUACUGAGUUGACUCUGGCUUUUGAAUGAAAACAGGUCAAUGGUGCAGCAAUCUCAUGCCAACUGCAAGAUGGAAAUGUUCAGAAACUUGGCAUUACCUCCACAAGUACUUGGAUCUUAAAA